AGUUCAAGUGUCUUAAUGAUGGACUUUUUUCCUACAAACGUGCAGCUUUUAACUUCACAAUAUGUUAAUUGAUGAACUGUAGUCAUGUGGAUUAUUGUG